rnacentral:lncRNA from 1 species
GCUCAACGUGACCACACACAGCCUUCCUCCCCGGCAGCCCGUCCGCCAGCGCUGUUCGCCGCUUCGCCCUCCGCCUCCUCCCUCCUUUCGCCUCCGCGGCGCGCACCCCCGCGCAAACCCAGGGAUUCCGGCCAUCGUCGGCCCCGGGCGCUCGCCGCCCAGCCCGGCACCUCUGCCGCAGCUACCGCCCGAGCGGCGGCCACGCAGCCUGGUGCCCUCCGCAGGCGGCCGCUCCCGCGUUCACCUCUGGAUGCCAGCACUACAUUAGCCCAGGCGGGGAACCCCUUCUGCGGCUCCCUCCUCUAAACUCCCG